CUUAUUAUGUGGCUUAUUAUUACGGGUGUGGCUUAUUAGGGCGACAUAUAUUGGGUCGACUAUGUUUGGUCGACAUGAUCAGUAGGUCGACAUGGAAAAAGGUCGACAUGAGUUUUUUUACUUUUUGGGUGUCAGUUUCUUCAAAAAGUGACGGGGAACCCCAAUUAGUGCAGCAUAACCCCUCGCAUGGCUUCGGGCACGGUGCCUCGCCCCGCUACCGCUAGGCUCGGCACAGGAUACGUUCCCAAUUGUAGUCCACGUGGAUCGUUAAGUAUGAAAAAGGUAAAAGAAAAUGGUGAAAAACUCAUGCCGACUUUUUUACCAUGUCGACCUAGUGAUCAUGUCGACCUAAUGCAUUUCAACCAAAUAUGGUUGACGCAAUGUAUGUUGACCUAACUCAUGUCGACCUAAUGACCGCCAUCCUAUUAUUACAUGAGCGUUCUGUAACUCUCACUGCGAUAACAGGCAGAGGGAUACAUUUGUGUUUCCCUUUCUAAGUAAUGAGAAUUCAAAAUUACACAAGACAGCUGAACAGCAUCUGAAGACUCCAAACAAUGAUCUUUAUCUGCUACAUCCAGAAACUGCAUUCAUCAUCUCACCGCCCUGGACAAUGGCCGCAACUUGGGGUGGCUAAGGGGCAUUGGAAUUGAGAGGGCCCUAAGAAACCAGUGAAUCUUACUGUGGGAUCAGCCAGGAGCCAUUGACCGCAGAGGACGUGGAUGGUCCAGGAGCACUGGGACCUACUUAAGGAGAACGGUCCCUGGGGAGAGGAGGAGGGUCUGAACUGAGGUCUUGAGUCACUUACUAGAGUGAAGGAGAGUCACUCACGCCUGCAGCCAUAAGGAGGAGAUCGCACUGCCAGCAUUUUGCCGACCAUAACCCCAAGACCCCGUUGGCAGAGUCACAGUGUCGUGAGGACAGCCCGGCCGUGAAGACCCUAGUGUGCAGAGAGCUGUCUCAGCCAUUGCUGGGCUGCACAGGAGUACCCUGGAGGACCACUGCUAGAAGAGCAGAAGCGUCUUCGAGGAGGAGGGACCACAGGCUUAACAGAGGCCAACAGGAGGGACAGAGAGGCCUCAGAUGACUCCGGGGUGACCGGAACCGGCAGGCUGAACCAAAGAUGACUCAUCGCGUCAGGACCCUCAGCAAGCCCCGUAGAGCAGCUGGCUGCAGGACCCAAGAAGGACCCCUAUCAGAGAACAGCGCAGAGCUGGAAGGGACAUUGGCCGGAGCCUGUGAGCACCCGGGGACAGCAUCAGGAAGAAAGAGCCGGUGGUGACCGGCUGGAGGGAGCAGCACGGCCCUGGACUGAGAGAGCAGCCCGGUGCUGUACCCAACAUCCAGGGUAGCACUGAAGACCGGAGGAGACAGAGGUGGCAGAGGCGCAACAGCGUAGGGUGAGACACAGCGUCCUAGACUAAGCCUUUCUGCUGCCUUCUCUGCCAUGUUAGCCCUUCCCCUGCCCACUCUGCAUGUUGAGGACAAAGUAUGCUCCCCUGUUUUUUCCUCAGUGCCCCAUUUUUAUAAGGUUAGUAAGGGAGUAGGCUUCCCUUUUCCCCCCAUGCUCUCAUUGUUUAGAAGGGUAGGCUCACCUUUUGUUCUCCUCUUCCCCACUCUGUCAGUUUUAUAUAAGGGGGUAGGCUCCCCUUGUGGAAUUGUUAAAAGCUCACUGUAACUCCUCUGCCUGUCCCCUCCAAACAUAGCAUGGGGGUACAUAUUAGUAUUCAAAAGAGCAUCUUGGUAGUAGUGGGGCAUCACAUAACGACACAAGAGGGGUGAGGCACAGACUGCUGCAGAGGAGGGUAGGAGGGCACCAAAUUACUACCUUGCCCUGGGUGAAUCCUAGUUUCGUCCCUGCUUACUUUAUACAAUCAUUAUUUCUCAAUGCUCUGUUGUCCUUUAAUUUGCGCUUGUGAACCUCUUUAUUUCAUGGCUAUUUCCACAAAUGUAAUUGUGAUUGUUCACAUUAUUACAAUACAGCAAUGGCACUUUCAAGAAUUUUAAAUGUGACCUAUAGAAUGAACAGCUGCAGCUUAUGAAUAUUAUUCCGGUGUCCAUAGCACCAUGCAGGGAAAAUUACUGUAAAACUUACAAAUAAUAGAGAAUAUUCAAGCGGCUCUCACUGCAGUGAGCAACAGAGCAGAUCUGGACAUAGGACCACUCUGCACCAGGAAGGGGUAAGCAUGUACAGGACUUUGGGCGAGAUUUUUAAGAGUUAGGGCUGCGUUGCCGGCGGCCGGGAUCCCGGCGUUCAGCAGAAUGCUGGCUGGGGGAGGGGGUGGGGGGAGCACCACAGGUCCUAUUCGCACUCUAUGGGUGUCGUGGACACCCGUGAGUGGGAAUAGUCCCUGUUGGUCGGCAUGCCGACUGUUGGUACUGUGAGGGUUCGGGAUGCAGGGGGAGUUAUUGUGUCCAUCGGUCUCCUGACUGCCGGUUACAUAACUACAUCCCUAUUUUUAAAGCGGCAAACAUUUACAAGGCAAAAUCAAAGGGGCCUACUUAUCAAAUAACAUAUGUGUGAUAUUCCCUGAAAACACCUGUCUUUGGGGGAUAUUUGUAAAUAUUAAGUAUCCAUCCCCUAAAUGUGCCUUGGAGGGACCACAGCAGGUACUGUAUCUCCGAUAUCUUUUGCAGUCCCUCCAUUUCCGCCGGCAGUCGCAGCCCCCAUAGGCUUCUAUGGGGGCGGAAAAGCUAUCAAAUUGAUCAAGCUCCGGAAUGCAACGUAUUCAAGAAUUUGACCCUGAUAGAUAAUGCCGUCUCCAGAUGGAGUUAUCCUAUAGUAGCCUAUGGGCUACAUUCCGCAGAAAUCACUGGGGUUCCGUAGCCGCCGCUCAUGUGUGGUCAUCAGACCGGGCAUGUGCAGAACAGCCCUAGCUCUAGAAGUAGAAAUUAUUGUCGAUCAUUUCACGUUACACAUCGCAGUGGCAGGCAUGUGAUUUUUAGUACAUUAGGUAGAAUGUUCAUUUCUCAUUGCUGCGAAUAGUGUUGAUGAGAUAUGUAAAUUAUCAGACAUAAAACUUAAUAUGUAGUAAAUAUGCUGCCAUAGAAAUGUAUCUGUUCUCCUCAGAUCUUUCACCACCUGUGCAGGCCAGCGUUACUGAAUAUCUUUCUGCCAUUUUAUCUUGGGUAUCCUCUCAUCUCCUCACAUUCAAGAGCUUUUGACCUUUCCUCUACUUACUGUACUUGACAUCUCUGUUUCUUUCUGCAGCACAAUAAUUAUCCCUACGCCCCAAGCUCCCUGCCUAAAUGUCAUCUAUGAAUAAAACUUUUCUUUG